rnacentral:rRNA from 1 species
UACGUAGGGUGCAAGCGUUAAUCGGAAUUACUGGGCGUAAAGCGCACGUAGGUGGUUCGUUAAGUCGGAUGUGAAAUCCCCGGGCUCAACCUGGGAACUGCGCUUGUGACUGGAAGACUAGAGUAUGGCAGAGGGGGGUGGAAUUCCACGUGUAGCAGUGAAAUGCGUAGAGAUGUGGAGGAACACCGAUGGCGAAGGCAGCCCCUGGGCCAAUACUGACGCUCAUGCACGAAAGCGUGGGUAGCAAACAGGAUUAGAAACCCAGUAGU